CCCUUAGAUGUUCUGGGCUGCACGCGCGCUACACUGAUGCGUUCAACGAGUUUAUGACCUUGCCCGAUAGGGUUGGGUAAUCUUUUUAAAUCGCAUCGUGAUGGGGAUAGAUUAUUGCAAUUAUUAAUCUUCAACGAGGAAUUCCUAGUAAGCGCGAGUCAUCAGCUCGUGCUGAUUACGUCCCUGCCCUUUGUACACACCGCCCGUCGCUCCUACCGAUUGAAUGGUCCGGUGAAAUCUCGGGACGGCGGCUUGGUCGCUUGCGUCCGACUGCUGAAACUUGAUUAAACCAUAUCAUUUAGAGGAAGGUGAAGUCGUAACA
rnacentral:rRNA from 1 species